rnacentral:rRNA from 1 species
AGAGUUUGAUCCUGGCUCAGAACGAACGCUGGCGGCAGGCCUAACACAUGCAAGUCGAACGCGACCUUCGGGUCGAGUGGCGCACGGGUGAGUAACGCGUGGGAAUCUGCCCUGUGGUACGGAAUAACAUCGGGAAACUGGUGCUAAUACCGUAUAUCCCCUGAGGGGGAAAGAUUUAUCGCCAUGGGAGGAGCCCGCGUAGGAUUAGCUAGUUGGUGAGGUAACGGCUCACCAAGGCGACGAUCCUUAGCUGGUCUGAGAGGAUGAUCAGCCACACUGGGACUGAGAUACGGCCCAGACUCCUACGGGAGGCAGCAGUGGGGAAUAUUGGACAAUGGGGGAAACCCUGAUCCAGCCAUGCCGCGUGUGUGAUGAAGGCCUUCGGGUUGUAAAGCACUUUCGCACGUGACGAUGAUGACGGUAACGUGAGAAGAAGCCCCGGCUAACUUCGUGCCAGCAGCCGCGGUAAUACGAAGGGGGCAAGCGUUGUUCGGAAUUACUGGGCGUAAAGGGCGCGUAGGCGGUGCACUAAGUCAGGCGUGAAAGCCCUGGGCUCAACCCGGGAAUUGCGCUUGAUACUGGUGCGCUUGAAUCCAGGAGCGGUUGGUGGAAUUCCCAGUGUAGAGGUGAAAUUCGUAGAGAUUGGGAAGAACACCGGUGGCGAAGGCGGCCAACUGGACUGGUAUUGACGCUGAGGCGCGAAAGCGUGGGGAGCAAACAGGAUUAGAUACCCUGGUAGUCG